AGUGAACGCUGGCGGUAGGCCUAACACAUGCAAGUCGAACGGCAGCACAGUAAGAGCUUGCUCUUACGGGUGGCGAGUGGCGGACGGGUGAGGAAUACAUCGGAAUCUACUUUUUCGUGGGGGAUAACGUAGGGAAACUUACGCUAAUACCGCAUACGACCUACGGGUGAAAGCAGGGGAUCUUCGGACCUUGCGCGAUUGAAUGAGCCGAUGUCGGAUUAGCUAGUUGGCGGGGUAAAGGCCCACCAAGGCGACGAUCCGUAGCUGGUCUGAGAGGAUGAUCAGCCACACUGGAACUGAGACACGGUCCAGACCCCUACGGGAGGCAGCAGUGGGGAAUAUUGGACAAUGGGCGCAGGCCUGAUCCAGCCAUACCGCGUGGGUGAAGAAGGCCUUCGGGUUUUAAAGCCCUUUUGUUGGGAAAGAAAAGCAGUAGGUUAAUACCCCGCUGUUCUGACGGUACCCAAAGAAUAAGCCCCGGCUAACUUCGUG
rnacentral:rRNA from 1 species